AUUCUGUACUAGAUCAGGAGAGAGAAUGUUGGUUCAAAUCUAAGAUGCAGAGCAGAUUGGUUAAGGACUAAGUUAGUUGAUCAUUUCCUAAGACAAGACUAGGACUAGCAGCAAAGGUGGUAUGGAUACUAUCAAGAUGAGAGGAGAAGUGGACAAACUGAAAACUAGUUCAAGGUCUAACUUUACAAACAUGACCUACCCACUGUGGCAUCCCUCUUACGCUUAGCCUGAUGUGCUUUGGUAGAGGAAGCACCACCCAUAUGAGUCUGCAUUUGCCAAAGGUGCCUUAGAAGAAAGGGAAAGAACUGGAACAGGUCAGCAAGUCCCAUGCUAAUGGGACUCAUGUCAAGCUGGGUCAAGUUGGGGUGUAGAUCUCUCAUUGAGAGCUAAAGCAUGGCGCUAAAAUAAGGGAAAGCAGAGACAUAGAAAACAAUCAAAUCUGAAGAAACCAGAGGAUGGAGAUGGAGGCUGUAGAACAAGGUGGGAAUGGAAGCUGGUGGAGAACAAUAAGGUAAGGACCUGAUCAAAUCCCUCAACCAUCAGGGGUUGCUGCUGGUUUGGAUCUGUGGACAAGUAGGACUAUAAAUGUGGCUUGAUCUGGUGGGACAGUUUAAAAUACCAGGAACAGGAAAAAAAAAAGAUAUACUUUGCAGACCACCUUUCUACCCUAACAUAGGAAAGCUUUAGUUUCUCUUUCUUAUCCUGGUUUACCCAAGAAUGAACUUAAUGGUUCCAUGAAAAGGAUAUGUACAGUUUCUGUUGAUCUAAAAUCAAGUCAGGUUUAGAUGAAGUCUCUAAAGAGCCUUUGUCACACUUAGAACUCCAACCAUGUGAGGUCAGACUGGGGAGGCUAGGGGAAGGCAACUAGGGUUUACAGGUCUCUCUAAAAUAUGAUCACUUACCCUUUCCUCACCAUGCAGAGCCUUAGUUACCAAAGAGUAGGAAAAUGGCCACGUGUCUGGGUUGCCACAGAAGAGGAUUUGUGGCUUGAAUCCUAUUAAGAGGAACUGAGAAGUCAUAAGCCUAUGGUAUAGAUUUCAUUCUCUUAGUCCAGGGAAAACAAUUUAAGAAGGGCAAGUAUCAACCUCCAUGCCUUUAUUUGGACCUCCCAACAUCUCUUUCAAGUAGAUGACAUGAUCCACUUCUCCCCAAACAAGUGCCUAAUAAUGAGCUUUAGACCAUUCUCUCAGGUACAAUGUCACAAAGACCUCCUCAGACAUGGAAAAGGGGAUGGGGCAAGGAGAGAACAGCUGUUCUGUAGACAACCAGUAGUGCCUGUUGCUGGGGCGAUUGGGCUGUCUUUUUGAUUUAUUUCCCGAAUAGAGGCAAACUCACAUCAUUUGAAAGGCAUCUUAGGAGAUGAAAUCUGCCUCCAUGAGAUCAUGGAUAUUGUUGAUGUCCUAGCUCAGGAGUAAGCAAUUCCAUUUUAAACUCUUGCUGUGAUGUGACUCUCCAAAAAACAUUUCCUAAGUUACAUGUAAAAGCAAGUCAUUAAAAAAAUGCAGCUUGCUUUUAUUUCUAUGUUUAGCCUGCAGUUCAUCAAACCUCACCCUCUGGGCUAGCAGCCCGCAAAUAUCUCAUAGCACUUACUAAAGUGUGUAAUGAUUUGAUGAAUUUGUUUAUUUCUCUGCCUCUCCCUCCACCUUUACUGUAAGAUUCAUCUGUCUUGUUCACCAUUCUAUCUGAAGCAUGUAGCACCAAACCUAGCCAUAGUAGUCAUUCAAUAAAAAGGCUGAAUGAAUAAGGGAAUGAAUGAAAAUUUUGGAUUGGUAAAUUGCAAGGCCUCUCUUUAGAGCAGAAGAGACACCUAGCACUAGCAACAUCUUUACCAAAUUUUUAUUGAACACAAAGGACUAUUUUUAAUGCUUGCCCCUGUAGGUCCUGCUGAGGAUCCCUGGUGCCCAGUAGGGAACACCGUGAGGAGGAGGAUUAAGAAAGGCACCCUUUCCACUGAUUUGCAUCGCCAUUUGUACAUGGAGUUUGGCUACAGCAAAAUCCGUUGCUAUCUCACCAGCUACAAGAAGCAAAGAACGAAUUGCAAUUCAUUUUUGUGCUCUAGGACCCGGUUGAGGGUAAGAGAAAAGAAGUCUUGUCUUUCCAAUUCUCCAGGGAUCUCAAACUCCUCAUUUUUUAUUGCUGUGUACCAAGCUCCCAGAGGUGACUUAAAAUGAGCUCCAUCCUGAAACAGAUGAAACACUGGCUGCAUAAGUACUGCCCCAGCGUUAAGAUGUGUGGUCUUUGGACCACUUUUCCUCCUGGGCAGAAAAGCAGAGUAGAGUCCUAGUGAAUGUGAGAGGAUGAAAGAAUGGGAGGGCUUCAGAAAGGUACUAGCCAAUCAAGGCUCUGAUGAUCAUGGAAUAGUUAUAUCUGUUCAG
rnacentral:lncRNA from 10 species